GACGAACCGUGCGAACGUUGUUCGGAAUCACUGGGCUUAAAGAGCGCGCAGGCGGUCGGCCAAGUCGAGUGUGAAAGCCCCCGGCUCAACUGGGGAGGGUCAUUCGAUACUGGUCGACUCGAAGGCAGGAGAGGGAAGCGGAAUUCCCGGUGUAGUGGUGAAAUGCGUAGAUAUCGGGAGGAACACCAGUGGCGAAGGCGGCUUCCUGGCCUGUUCUUGACGCUGAGGCGCGAAAGCUAGGGGAGCAAACGGG
rnacentral:rRNA from 1 species